GCUAUACAUUCCAAUUUUUGGCCCUGAAACUGUAGGGUGUCGGAAGAUCUGGGCGAGUGAAUAUAGGUUUUAGUCUUAAUCUGUUUUUAAUGAUGUUUUACAGUUUUAAUCAGAUCUAGCUACACAUUUCAAAGUUUACGACAAAGGGGAAUUAAACCAGUGCUUUUAUCAAAUAUAUAUUUUUGUUCUGUUAAGUCUCUGUACAUACAUUUUCUGACUCUUUAUUUUGCUAACAUUUCCAAGUGUUAAUAAGAUGUUGUACGAUUAGGCCAAAUAAAAGUUUGACCCCCCUUGUG